GAAGUGCGAUAAGCAGUGCGAAUUGCAGAACCGUGAGUCAUCAGAUCUUUGAACGCAACUGGCGCCAGCUGGUUCUCCAGCUGGCAUGCUUGUUUCAGUGUCUUGUUCUCUCAUCACCCAAAUCUUAAUGCUUGAGAUACCCUUCUCUUGCUAAGUAAGAAAGCACUCUGCACUUUGCAGGCUAUCUCGACUUGUUCGAGGGUAGCACUCAAUGCAGCAGUCACAUUUUACAGUGUGAACUCAUUGAGAGUAGAGGCAGCUCAGCUCGUCUGUAAGUGCUUAGACACCCAAACUUUAAUUGCAUCUGAAAUCAAGCAGGAUCACCCGCUGAACUUAA
rnacentral:misc_RNA from 1 species